UAUAUAUGCACACGUAUUUAUAUAUAAUGGUUUCAAACUCAUCAGUUGAGUCAGGUGUGAGUGAAAACGACAAGGACAAAAUAAAACAUUGGUGAUUUGUUUGAUUUGGGCCAAAUAAAAGAAACUGGUAUUUUUGCCUGCACACACUCACACACAUACACACAUUAAAAAUGUUGCGUAGUUUGUAUGAUUAGUGUCUUCAACACACAAUCUCUAAAACCUGACAAAUAUGUUGAAUAUGAAUCACAUUUUCAAAAACACCAAAUCAUCAACACUUUCAGGUACUAAAAGGAAUUAACAAUACAAUAAUUUGAAUGCUUCGAAAUUAUUC
rnacentral:lncRNA from 1 species